UACGGAGGGUGCGAGCGUUGUCCGGAAUCACUGGGCGUAAAGGGCGCGUAGGCGGCUUGGGAAGUCUGUGGUGAAAGCUCGUGGCUCAACUGCGAGUCGGCCAUAGAUACUCCUAAGCUCGAGUCGACUAGAGGCAGAUGGAAUUCCGGGUGUAGCGGUGGAAUGCGUAGAGAUCCGGAAGAACACCGGUGGCGAAGGCGGUCUGCUGGGGUCGAACUGACGCUGGAGGCGCGACAGCGUGGGGAGCAAACAGG
rnacentral:rRNA from 1 species